UACGUAGGGGGCAAGCGUUGUCCGGAUUCAUUGGGCGUAAAGAGCGUGUAGGCGGCCAGGUAGGUCGGUUGUGAAAACUGGAGGCUCAACCUUCAGAGGUCGACCGAAACCAUCUGGCUAGAGUCCGGGAGAGGAGAGUGGAAUUCCUGGUGUAGCGGUGAAAUGCGCAGAUAUCUGGAGGAACACCGGUGGCGAAGGCGGCAUUCUGGACUGUAACUGACACUGAGGAACGAAAGCCAGGGGAGCAAACGGG
rnacentral:rRNA from 1 species